rnacentral:misc_RNA from 1 species
AACCAUAGAAACCUGCGGAGUACCUGCGGAGGGAUCAUUAUAGUAUAUGGAAUCUCCAUUCUAUAAACCCACUCUGCGUAUCUUGUAACUGUUGCUUCCAUGGGACUUGGUUCCGCCACACCGGCUUCACGGCUGGUGAGCGCCCAUGGAAGGAGAAACAAAACUCUUCUUUGAAAUGUAGUCAGUCUGAACGAGUUUUUAUAAACGUUAAAACUUUUAGCAACGGAUCUCAGAUCGGAA